AGAGUUUGAUCAUGGCUCAGGACGAACGCUGGCGGCGGGUUUAACACAUGCAAGUCGAGGGACGAAGUUUGGUGCUUGCACCGAACGGAAACCGGCGAACGGGUGAGUAACACGUGAGAAACCAACCCUUCACUUUGGGAUAACCCAAGGAAACUUGGGCUAAUACCGGAUACCCCGGUCGGAUCGCAUGAUCCUUCCGGGAAAGUUCCGACGGUGAUGGACGGUCUCGCGGCCUAUCAGCUAGUUGGUGAGGUAACGGCUCACCAAGGCGACGACGGGUAGCUGGAGUGAGAGCUCGAACAGCCACACUGGGACUGAGACACGGCCCAGACUCCUACGGGAGGCAGCAGUGGAGAAUCUUGCACAAUGGGCGAAAGCCUGAUGCAGCCACGCCGCGUGAGGGACGAAGGUCUUCGGAUUGUAAACCUCUUUCAGUCGUGAAGAAGCGCAAGUGACGGUAACGACAGAAGAAGCCCCGGCUAACUACGUGCCAGCAGCCGCGGUAAUACGUAGGGGGCAAGCGUUGUCCGGAAUUAUUGGGCGUAAAGGGCGCGUAGGCGGUCCAUUAAGUCGGAUGUGAAAUCCAGGGGCUCAACCCCUGAACUGCACCCGAUACUGGUGGACUUGAGGUAGGUAGAGGAGAGUGGAAUUUCUGGUGUAGCGGUGGAAUGCGCAGAUAUCAGAAGGAACACCGAUGGCGAAGGCAGCUCUCUGGGCCUUACCUGACGCUGAGGCGCGAAAGCAUGGGUAGCAAACAGGAUUAGAUACCCUAGUAGUCC
rnacentral:rRNA from 1 species